rnacentral:rRNA from 1 species
CACGUAGGGGGCGAGCGUUGUCCGGAUUUAUUGGGCGUAAAGAGCUCGUAGGCGGCUCAGUAAGUCAGGUGUGAAAACUCCAGGCUCAACCUGGAGACGCCACCUGAUACUGCUGUGGCUAGAGUCCGGUAGGGGAGCAUGGAAUUCCUGGUGUAGCGGUGAAAUGCGCAGAUAUCAGGAGGAACACCAGUGGCGAAGGCGGUGCUCUGGGCCGGAACUGACGCUGAGGAGCGAAAGCGUGGGAGCAAACAGG